GGGCUACAGGCGAGACGGGUAGCCGGCCUGAGAGGGCGACCGGCCACACUGGGACUGAGAUACGGCCCAGACUCCUACGGGAGGCAGCAGUGGGGAAUAUUGCGCAAUGGGCGAAAGCCUGACGCAGCGACGCCGCGUGAGGGAUGACGGCCUUCGGGUUGUAAACCUCUUUCAGCGCCGAAGAAGCGAAAGUGACGGUAGGCGCAGAAGAAGCACCGGCUAACUACGUGCCAGCAGGCCGCGGCGGA
rnacentral:rRNA from 1 species